rnacentral:lncRNA from 1 species
AUACGAGAAGGCCACGACGACCACCAACACAUCUAAGGUUUGGCAAGGCAGGUCCAUCGUCUGUACCUAUGCAAGAGCUGACAAUGAUGCCUACACCACCCUCUGGUUAAUAUGUAUCGUCUUAUUCUAGUGCAUAUGCGAACCCUAUCAUUUUCACACAAGCACCAUAUAUUCCACCACAUUUUUUUGCUUCUACUUCGAU